GUUUAGUGAGGCUUCCUGACUGGCGCCGAUACUCUGGCAACAGAGCGUCGGAUGCCGGAAAGUUGGUCAAACUUGAUCAUUUAGAGGAAGUAAAAGUCGUAACAAGGUUUCCGUAGGUGAACCUGCGGAAGGAUCAUUACCGAUGACCAUGCAGUUUUGUCUGCUCUGUGAACCGUACGCAAGCUUAUUCAGGGGUCGGCCCGGGGGGCCGUUAAAUGGCGAUCGGACGCGAGGCGAGCAUCUCGCGGCCGCUUCGCCUGCCCCGCCUUGGUUUUUUUUCAAACACACGUGUCUCUUGUCGUCUGAUGUCUGUCGAGGCGUCCGCCUCGGCAAGUGGAAAGAAAAUGCCAGAGACAACUUUUGACGGUGGAUCUCUUGGCUCACGCAUCGAUGAAGAACGCAGCCAGCUGCGAUAAGUAGUGUGAAUUGCAGAAUUCAGUGAAUCAUCGAAUCUUUGAACGCAAAUGGCGCUCUUGGGUUCUCCCAGGAGCAUGUCUGUCUGAGUGUCGGAUUGUCACCCAUCGCGGGUGCGCACUCCAGUGCGCGCACCGGCGGCGUUGAGGCGUCACGGCCUUUCAGAAGAUGGGCCGUGUCCCUCGAAAGGCAGAGAGACUCGUUGCGGUUCGGGGCUCGUUCCCGCAGCGCAGCAGCGGAGGCCAAAAGUGUCAGCACUCCUUCGCGCGUUGCCGGGACCCCGCCGCGCCCGAGUCGUCCGGGCGAAAGAGACAAACCAACCACGCUCUUGACCUCAGAUCAGGCAAGGCUACCCGCUGAAUUUAAGCAUAUUAAUAAGCGGAGGAAAAGAAACUAACAAGGAUUCCCCCAGUAACGGCGAGUGAAGCGGGAAGAGCUCAAAUUUGAAAUCUCCGGUGCUUGCAUCGGCGAGUUGUAGUUGCGAGAAGCACUUUCUAGGUGGAUCGGCCGUGCCUAAGUUGCUUGGAACGGCACGUCGCAGAGGGUGACAACCCCGUCUGUGGCGCGGCCGGCCGCUGACGAUGUGCUUUCGAA
rnacentral:rRNA from 1 species